AGUUCUGUGGCUCAAUGGGAUAGAGCAUUGGUUUUCUAAACCGAAGGUUAGGGGUUCGAUCCCUCUCAGAAUUACAA
rnacentral:tRNA from 1 species